AGCUUGGGGUUUCGGUGAUGCAGUGCGCUAUGUUGAAUAGGGGUCCUUCACACGGCCAGCAUGGUGAGUUCCAGGGAGCUGGAGGUCACCAGGUUGUCUAAGGAGGGGUGAACCAACCCAGGCUGGUAACGGAGCAGGUUAAAACCCCUGUGUUGGUAGGUGUGGGGACAGCCCCUGUGAAUAGAACCUGCAGUGUUACCUGUGCA
rnacentral:SRP_RNA from 2 species